ACGGGGUAGUAAUGUGUCGGAACGUGCCCUCUGGACGGGGAUAGCGGCGGGAAACUGCCGGUAAUACCCGAUGAACUCGAGAGAGCAAAGGUGUGAUUCCGCCGGAGGAGCGGCCGACAUGGUAUUAGCUAGUUGGCGGGGUAACGGCCCACCAAGGCUGUGAUGCCUAGGGGAUGUGAGAGCAUGAUCCCCACCAUUGGGACUGAGACACUGCCCAGACACCUACGGGUGGCUGCAGUCGAGAAUCUUCGUCAAUGGGCGAAAGCCUGAACGAGCGACGCCGCGUGUGGGAUGAAGGCCUUUGGGUUGUAAACCUCUGUCGAGGGGGAUGAAGGCAUUCAGGUCCUCCUGAGUGUUUGACAGAGCCCUGGAGGAAGCACGGGCUAAGUUCGUGCCAGCAGCCGCGGUAAUACGAACUGUGCGAACGUUAUUCGGAAUCACUGGGCUUACAGGGUGCGUAGGCGGCUUAGCAAGUCAGGUGUGAAAGCCCCCGGCUCAACCGGGGAACUGCGCUUGAAACUGCUGAGCUCGAGUCAGCUAGAGGUACACGGAACUUCCAGUGGAGCGGUGAAAUGUGUUGA
rnacentral:rRNA from 1 species